GAGUUUGAUCAUGGCUCAGAUUGAACGCUAGCGGGAUGCCUUACACAUGCAAGUCGAACGGCAGCACGGACUUCGGUCUGGUGGCGAGUGGCGAACGGGUGAGUAAUGUAUCGGAACGUGCCUAGUAGCGGGGGGAUAACUACGCGAAAGCGUAGCUAAUACCGCAUACACCCUACGGGGGAAAGCAGGGGAUCGCAAGACCUUGCACUAUUAGAGCGGCCGAUAUCGGAUUAGCUAGUUGGUGGGGUAACGGCUCACCAAGGCGACGAUCCGUAGCUGGUUUGAGAGGACGACCAGCCACACUGGGACUGAGACACGGCCCAGACUCCUACGGGAGGCAGCAGUGGGGAAUUUUGGACAAUGGGGGAAACCCUGAUCCAGCCAUCCCGCGUGUGCGAUGAAGGCCUCGGUUGUAGAGCACUUUGUCAGGAAGAAACGUACAUGG
rnacentral:rRNA from 1 species